CUGAAAAAAUUAAUUUAUUAAGUAAAAUAAUAAUUAUUAUUAGGGGUUUUAAUUUUUAUUGAAAGUAUUUAUUGGUUUUGUAUUUUGAUAGAUAAAAUUUUUUUCAUUAUAGUAUAUUAGUAUUGAAGGAGAAUAUUUUUAUUUAUUUAAAAGAAGAAUUAAUUUUUUGUACCUUGUGUAUCAGGGUUUAUUAAAGAAAAAGUUUUUAUUUAAUUUUUCCCGAAUCUAUAAGGGCUAUAUAUUUAUUUUAGUUAUUGUUGAAUAAAUAUUUUUAAUAUUUAUAUAGAAAUGAAACGUUAUUCGUUUAUAGAUAUAUCUGGUUUUUUAAGAAAGUAAUUUAAUUACAUUAUUUAUAUAAUAAAUUUUUAUUAUAUAAUUUUUAUUUUGAAUAAUAAAGAAUUUGGGGGAUGAGCUUUAAAUUUUAACGGUAAAACUUUUAUUGAAAUUAUAAUGAUGCGGGUAGGAUUAGAAGUUUUUAUAAUAGUGUUUAAUAACUAGGCUUAUUAGUUUAUAAUAUUUAUAUGGGGUUUACUUUUUCUAUUAAAAAACUUUUUUAACUAGAAGAGGAAAGGAUAUUAUGAUAUAAUUAGUAGAAUUUAAUUUUAAUUGUGGGUAUGUAAAAAUAAUUUUAUAAUAUUUAAAUUAAUUUUAAGGAAUUCGGCAAAAAUUUUUUUCACCUGUUUAUUAAAAACAUGGCUUUUUGUGAAAAAGUAUAUAAGGUCGGGCCUGCCCGGUGAAAUUUAUUUUAACGGCCGCAGUAUUUUGACUGUGCAAAGGUAGCAUAAUAAUUAGUUUCUUAAUUGGAAGCUUGUAUGAAAGGUUUAAUGAAAAAAAUUCUGUCUCAAUUUUAAUCUUUGAAUUUUAUUUUUAAGUAAAAAAGCUUAAAUUUUUUAAAAAGACGAGAAGACCCUAUAGAGUUUUAUAUUUUUAUAUGUAGUAUGAAUUAGUAUAAUUUAUUUUAUGUAAAAGGAAGUAUUUAAUUGGGGUGAUUGAAAAAUUUAAUAAACUUUUUUUAUUUUUAAAUAUUUAUAUAUAGGUAUUUGAUCCUUUUUUUAAGAUUAAAAGUUUAAAUUACCUUAGGGAUAACAGCGUUAUUUUUUCUAAGAGUUCUUAUCGAAGAAAGAGUUUGCGACCUCGAUGUUGGAUUAAAAUUUGCUUUUGGUGUAGGUGCUUUAAGGCUAGGUCUGUUCGACCUUUAAAAUUUUACAUGAUCUGAGUUUAAACCGGCGUGAGCCAGGUUGGUUUCUAUCUUUUAAUUUUAAUAAUGUUUUAGUACGAAAGGACCAAAUUUUAUCUAAUUUAGAUUGUUUAUUUGAUUUAUAUUAAUUAAUACAAAAAAAGUUAUUUUGGCAGAAUAGUGCAA
rnacentral:rRNA from 2 species